rnacentral:tRNA from 1 species
UGCCGGGUCGUCUAACCGUAGGACAGCGCCCUUUGAAGGCGCGUAUGCAGGUGCAAAUCCUGCCCCGGCAG